rnacentral:lncRNA from 1 species
CGGACCAAGUGCCCCCUGCACUUUCAACGCCGUAGGUCUCCCGGCAGCCCUGGAAGGACAGUCUUACCCGGACGCCACGGUGGUCUCCCGGCAGCCCUGGGAAGGACAGUCUUACCCGGACGCCACGGUGGUCUCCCGGCAGCCCUGGGAAGGACAGUCUUACCCGGACGCCACGGCCGAGCUGCCCUUCCCUCCCUGCUGCCCCCAGGGAAGGCUGCUGGUGUCCUCAGAUGCGGGCAGGAGGAACCCGCCAGCGCCUGAGAGCCUGGCCCGAACCAGGCCUGGAGGUGCUGGGGCGAAGACACAGAGGAUGUGGCCUCCAUCCCUGGUAACAGACGGUUACCAGGGCGGCUUUGGGUGAGGACAUUGAAAAAGGUCAGACUCCCUGGGAGCAGCGCCCUGGACUCCAUUCUCAUCACAGACCAGUGGUUCCCAAUUGAAGUCAGUUUUGCUCCUCAGGGCACACUUAACAACAUCUGGAGACAUUUUUAAUUGUCCUGACCGAGAGGACAAUGCUACUGGCAUCUAGUGGACAGAGGCCAGGGAUACUGCUGAACAUCCCGCAGUGCACAGGACGCCUGCAACACAGAUUAUCCAGCCCCAAACGUCAAUAGUGCCGGAGUUAUGGAACCCUAAUGAAGACAAUUCUUGAAGGCAUAGACUGAAUCUUAUUUAUCUUUGUUUCCCUCAUGUCUCACAAGCAGAGUAUGAGUUCAGCAAAUAGGAGUUGAACAGAAAUCAGGAGGAGGUGCUGAUUGACAGGAAAAAAGAAAGAUUUAGUUUAGAGCUGAGAAUUCAGCUGGACAGCCAUAGGGGCUCUGGCAUGGAGACUGGAAGUCAGAAGAGAAUUUGCAGCAAGACAUUUAGAGCCAUUUAUCCAGCCAUCAUAAUUUUAUUGAGUAACUAUUUUGUGUGAGGCACUGUACUGGAUGCUUUGGCAACAGAGAUAAGCAAGGCAACCCCUGUGA